rfam:Corchorus capsularis cultivar CVL-1 contig07510, whole genome shotgun sequence.
AUGCCAUGGUGAGGACAAUCGGCGCAAAGCAUCUUGCAUCUAUCCCAUGCUUGGUAGAAAUUUUCAUCUUUUUCUUGUUGAAAGGCGGCAAUCCUUUGUCUUCCUUU